rnacentral:SRP_RNA from 1 species
GCCAGGCAUGGUGGCACAUGCCUGUAAUCCCAGCUGCUCGGGAGGCUGAGGUGGGAGGAUUGCUUGAACCCAGGAGGCAGAGGCUGCAGUGAGCUGAGAUCGUAUCACUGCACUCCAGCCUGGGUGACAGAGCGAGACCCCAUCUCAA